rnacentral:rRNA from 1 species
CCCUUAGAUGUUCUGGGCCGCACGCGCGCUACACCGGUACGUUCAACAAGUUUACAACCUUGAUCGAUAGGUCUGGGUAAUCUUUUUAAUGCGUACCGUGCUAGGGAUAGAUUAUUGCAAUUAUUAAUCUUGAACGAGGAAUUCCUAGUAAACGCAAGUCAUCAGCUUGCAUUGAUUACGUCCCUGCCCUUUGUACACACCGCCCGUCGCACCUACUGAUUGAAUGACUCGGUGAAAAAUUGGGACUGUGAGAACAAUCGAUUCAGUUCGAAUGUACUCGUGGAAACUUUUUUUAACCUCGCCAUUUAGAAGAAGGUGAAGUCGUANCA